rnacentral:rRNA from 1 species
GAUGAACGCUGGCGGCGUGCCUAAUACAUGCAAGUCGAGCGAACAGACGAGGAUUUUGCUCCUCUGACGUUAGCGUCGAACGGGUAAGUAACACGUGGGUAACCUACCUAUAAGACUCAGAUAACUUCUAGAAACCGGAGCUAAUACCUGAUAAUAUAUUGAACCGCAUGGUUCAAUAUGUGAAGGCGGUUUUGCUUUUACUGGUAGGUGGAUCGGCGCCGCAUUAGCUAGUUGGUGAGGUAACGGCUUACUAAGACAACGAUGGGUAGCAGACCUGAGGGGGUGAGCGGGCACACUGGAACUGAGACAGGGUCCAGACCCAGACGGGAGGCAGAGGUAGGGAAUCUGACGCAAGGGGCGUAAGCCGGACGGAGAAGCGGCGAGGGAGUGAUGAAGAUCUUCGGAUCGGAAAUGUAUGUUACUAGGGAAGAAGAAAUGUGUAAGUAGUUAUGCACGUCUUGACGGUACCUGAUCAGAAAGCAACGGCUAACUACGUG